ACACCUCAACUCUUGUGGCUUGCCAUGAUGAGCUUGGACUUUGGGGGACUUGCUGGCCUAUGGUCGGCUCCUCUCAAAUGGAUCAGCUUGCCAGUGUUUGGUGGCAUCACAGGUGUGAUAACUAUCUGCGCUUGUGGUUUGCCAUCAGAUAACCUUCAGUGAUGGAGGUUCUCGCUGGAGCUCAUAAACGUCCCUCCUAAGUGAGGACAGCCCCUUGAAC
rnacentral:misc_RNA from 1 species